CCCAGAAAUAUUUCUCCAGGGGAGCCCAUCACAUGGAGACCUAGCCACAGAGAGAUGUCACCAGAGCUUAACAAGGUGCUGCAGGUGGACUGAAGUCAUCGACUCAUUAAAUUACACGUCCCUAACUUGCACCUGUGGAGGCAGCUCCAUGAGGAGAUGGACGCAGAGCUCACACUCCUCUUCUAUACUAAGACAGACUGGUGCUUGAUCACUUACCUCAGCUUUCAAAAGAGCUUGAGCAUCACUUUCCAACCACAGAAGACCCUGCACUGGAAAGGAAUGGAUCUGCCACCACUCAUGAGGAAGCCAGGAUAAUUAACUUUGUCCAUGCUAGAAGACAGACUGCUUGAGGUCACAGAUGACAAUGGCCUUGAAGUAUGUCUGAGACAACUUCACACCUCCAUCUGUUCUGGAUCUGAGCUAAGGCAGAAUGUCCUGAGACUGCCAUGGAAGUACUAAAAAGCCUGCUUCCUUUUCCAAACUCCUGUCUUUCUAAAGCAGGCAUUUUGUUUUGUUUUUUCAGCAACAGCAACCAAAGUGAGAUUGCAAGGAGGACCGGACAUGGCAGCACACUUCAGGUGUGACUGUCUCCCGUCACCCCGAACUGCACCAUCUCAUUGCAGGAGAACUGAGUG
rnacentral:lncRNA from 1 species